rnacentral:rRNA from 1 species
UGCGAAGGGGGGACGGAGAAGGCUAUGUUGGCCGGGCGACGGUUGUCCCGGUUUAAGCGUGUAGGCUGGUUUUCCAGGCAAAUCCGGAAAAUCAAGGCUGAGGCGUGACGACGAGGCACCACGGUGCUGAAGCAACAAAUGCCCUGCUUCCAGGAAAAGCCUCUAAGCAUCAGGUAACACGAAAUCGUACCCCAAACCGACACAGGUGGUCAGGUAGAGAAUACCAAGGCGCUUGAGAGAACUCGGGUGAAGGAACUAGGCAAAAUGGUGCCGUAACUUCGGGAGAAGGCACGCUGACACGUAGGUGAAGUGAUUUACUCAUGGAGCUGAAGUCAGUCGAAGAUACCAGCUGGCUGCAACUGUUUAUUAAAAACACAGCACUGUGCAAACACGAAAGUGGACGUAUACGGUGUGACGCCUGCCCGGUGCCGGAAGGUUAAUUGAUGGGGUUAUCCUCGCGGAGAAGCUCCUGAUCGAAGCCCCGGUAAACGGCGGCCGUAACUAUAACGGUCCUAAGGUAGCGAAAUUCCUUGUCGGGUAAGUUCCGACCUGCACGAAUGGCGUAAUGAUGGCCAGGCUGUCUCCACCCGAGACUCAGUGAAAUUGAACUCGCUGUGAAGAUGCAGUGUACCCGCGGCAAGACGGAAAGACCCCGUGAACCUUUACUAUAGCUUGACACUGAACAUUGAGCCUUGAUGUGUAGGAUAGGUGGGAGGCUUUGAAGCGUGGACGCCAGUCUGCGUGGAGCCAACCUUGAAAUACCACCCUUUAAUGUUUGAUGUUCUAACGUGGACCCGUUACCCGGGUUGCGGACAGUGUCUGGUGGGUAGUUUGACUGGGGCGGUCUCCUCCCAAAGAGUAACGGAGGAGCACGAAGGUUGGCUAAUCCUGGUCGGACAUCAGGAGGUUAGUGCAAUGGCAUAAGCCAGCUUGACUGCGAGCGUGACGGCGCGAGCAGGUGCGAAAGCAGGUCAUAGUGAUCCGGUGGUUCUGAAUGGAAGGGCCAUCGCUCAACGGAUAAAAGGUACUCCGGGGAUAACAGGCUGAUACCGCCCAAGAGUUCAUAUCGACGGCGGUGUUUGGCACCUCGAUGUCGGCUCAUCACAUCCUGGGGCUGAAGUAGGUCCCAAGGGUAUGGCUGUUCGCCAUUUAAAGUGGUACGCGAGCUGGGUUUAGAACGUCGUGAGACAGUUCGGUCCCUAUCUGCCGUGGGCGCUGGAGAACUGAGGGGGGCUGCUCCUAGUACGAGAGGACCGGAGUGGACGCAUCACUGGUGUUCGGGUUGUCAUGCCAAUGGCACUGCCCGGUAGCUAAAUGCGGAAGAGAUAAGUGCUGAAAGCAUCUAAGCACGAAACUUGCCCC